AAGAGAAGAGGAUUCAAGUAAGAACUGCUAAUUACUUAUUACCACAGUUAAACUCUAUGGUUCUCUUG
rnacentral:tRNA from 1 species